rnacentral:rRNA from 1 species
CCUACGGGGGGCUGCAGUGGGGAAUAUUGGACAAUGGGCGAAAGCCUGAUCCAGCCAUGCCGCGUGUGUGAAGAAGGCCUUCGGGUUGUAAAGCACUUUCAGUGGGGAAGAAAGCCUUGGGGCUAAUACCCUCGAGGAAGGACAUCACCCACAGAAGAAGCACCGGCUAACUCCGUGCCAGCAGCCGCGGUAAUACGGAGGGUGCGAGCGUUAAUCGGAAUUACUGGGCGUAAAGCGCGCGUAGGCGGUCUGAUAAGCCGGUUGUGAAAGCCCCGGGCUCAACCUGGGAACGACAUCCGGAACGGUCAGGCUAGAGUGCAGGAGAGGAAGGUAGAAUUCCCGGUGUAGCGGUGAAAUGCGUAGAGAUCGGGAGGAAUACCAGUGGCGAAGGCGGCCUUCUGGACUGACACUGACGCUGAGGUGCGAAAGCGUGGGUAGCAAACAGGAUUAGAUACCCCGGUAGUC